CCGCAUCUUGCAACAUCACUCUGUGUUGUUACAAGGUAUCUACGUAUGAGUGUCAGCCCAAUAUCCUUUAUUGGUUCAAGAUGUAUUUUGAUGAAAUCUUUUUAAGAUUUUUUCAGAGUCUUGGAUACAUAUUUUAUGGAAAUAAUUUAUGUCUGGCCUCAUAUGUGGAAGGUUACCCGCUGGAUUUAAGC
rnacentral:misc_RNA from 1 species